GACGAACGCUGGCGGCGUGCUUAACACAUGCAAGUCGAGCGGUAAGGCCCUUUCGGGGGUACACGAGCGGCGAACGGGUGAGUAACACGUGGGUGACCUGCCCUCAGCUCUGGGAUAAGCCUGGGAAACCGGGUCUAAUACUGGAUAUGACUCCAUGACGCAUGUUGUGGGGUGGAAAGCCUUGUGCGGCUGAGGAUGGGCCCGCGGCCUAUCAGCUUGUUGGUGGGGUGANGGCCUGCCAAGGCGACGACGGGUAGCCGGCCUGAGAGGGCGACCGGCCACACUGGGACUGAGACACGGCCCAGACUCCUACGGGAGGCAGCAGUGGGGAAUCUUGCGCAAUGGGCGAAAGCCUGACGCAGCGACGCCGCGUGAGGGAUGACGGCCU
rnacentral:rRNA from 1 species